rnacentral:rRNA from 1 species
GGUAAUACGUAGGGUCCAAGCGUUAAUCGGAAUUACUGGGCGUAAAGCGUGCGCAGGCGGUUGUGCAAGACCGAUGUGAAAUCCCCGAGCUUAACUUGGGAAUUGCAUUGGUGACUGCACGGCUAGAGUGUGUCAGAGGGGGGUAGAAUUCCACGUGUAGCAGUGAAAUGCGUAGAGAUGUGGAGGAAUACCGAUGGCGAAGGCAGCCCCCUGGGAUAACACUGACGCUCAUGCACGAAAGCGUGGGGAGCAAACAGGAUU